rnacentral:rRNA from 1 species
GAUGAACGCUAGCGGCAGGCUUAAUACAUGCAAGUCGAGGGGCAGCACAGGUAGCAAUACUGGGUGGCGACCGGCAAACGGGUGCGGAACACGUACACAACUUACCUUAGAGUGGGGGAUAGCCCAGGGAAACUUGGAUUAAUACCCCAUAAAACAGGGGGCCCGCAUGGGCAUAUUGUUAAAGAUUUAUCGCUUUAAGAUGGGUGUGCGUAUGAUUAGGUAGUUGGUAGGGUAAAGGCCUACCAAGCCGACGAUCAUUAACUGGUGUGAGGGCACGACCAGUCACACGGGCACUGAGACACGGGCCCGACUCCUACGGGAGGCAGCAGUAAGGAAUAUUGGUCAAUGGACGGAAGUCUGAACCAGCCAUGCCGCGUGAAGAAUGAAGGUCCUCUGGAUUGUAAACUUCUUUUAUAGGGGGCGAAAAAGGGCCAUUCUUGGUCAACUGACGGUACCCUAUGAAUAAGCCACGGCUAACUACGUGCCAGCAGCCGCCGUAAGAC